GCUGUGAUGGUCAAGUGGUUAAGGCCUUGGACUCAAGAUCCUACGGGGUCUCCCCAAGCAGGUUCAAACCCUGAUCACAGCA
rfam:TPA: Bos taurus chromosome 23, whole genome shotgun sequence.